ACGGCUCCCAGGGUGAUUUGCUAUCAUGCCCUCUGAGAGCUGCUGAAACAUGGGAGCUGCAGGAAGCAGCAGUGAUGUAACCACCAUCUCGGUAGCAGCAGAGCAGGAGGGAUGGAGCAGAAGCCCUUUGCCAGGAUGGACCAUUGGCAGAACCACCUCCUUCCCUAAUUUGCUCACCUGGAGCACGUGCCCGGACCUCCAGGAGCUGUGUGGGACGAGACAGCUCUGUGCUGUGCAACAAACAUCAGCAGAGCUGCGGAGCGCUUCCACUCCCAGCUCCACCACCCCCUGAUUGACACCCUGUAAUAAAGAGAUUUACCACAUAAUUAUUGCGCAUUUGGG
rnacentral:lncRNA from 1 species